AGUGAACGCUGGCGGUAGGCCUAACACAUGCAAGUCGAACGGCAGCACAGUAAGAGCUUGCUCUUACGAGUGGCGAGUGGCGGACGGGUGAGGAAUACAGCGGAAUCUACUUUUUCGGGGGGGAUAACGUAGGGAAACUUACGCUAAUACAGCAUACGACCUACGGGUGAAAGCAGGGGAUAUUCGGACCUUGCGAGAAUGAAUGAGCCGAUGUGGGAUUAGCUAGUUGGCGGGGUAAAGGCCCACCAAGGCGACGAUCCGUAGCUGGUCUGAGAGGAUGAUCAGCCACACUGGAACUGAGACACGGUCCAGACUCCUACGGGAGGCAGCAGUGGGGAAUAUUGGACAAUGGGCGCAAGCCUGAUCCAGCCAUACCGCGUGGGUGAAGAAGGCCUUCGGGUUGUAAAGCCCUUUUGUUGGGAAAGAAAAGCAGCAGGUUAAUACCCCGCUGUUCUGACGGUACCCAAAGAAUAAGCACCGGCUAACUUCGUG
rnacentral:rRNA from 1 species